UGAAAUAAACUUACUCACCUUGCCCUGCUAUCUGCAACCAUAUUAGGGGUAUAUCUGGCUAAUUGAGUAAACUUAAGAGAAUACUCUUUCACUAUCAUAUUGCCUUGCCUGAGUUUGAUGAAUUCUAACACCUUAGCUUCUCUAAGCUCUAGGGGAAUGAAUCUAUCAAGAAAAGUAGAAGUAAACUCCUCCCACUCAACUAGCCCUGUAUUAUCUUCCCUCUCUGACUUCUACUACUUGAACCAAGUGUGAGCAAUAUCCUACAACUAAUAUGCAGCUAGCUUAGCACUCUUACUAAGAGUAAACCCCAUUAUGUUUGUAACCUUCUG
rnacentral:lncRNA from 1 species